CCCUGGUUAGCUCAGUUGGUAGAGCGCUCCACUUGUAAUGGAGAGGUCCCGGGUUCGAUACCCGGACCAGGAG
rnacentral:tRNA from 1 species